rnacentral:rRNA from 1 species
GACGUAGGGGGCCAGCGUUAUUCGGAAUUAUUGGGCGUAAAGGGCUCGUAGGCGGCCUCCUUAGUCGGACGUGAAAUCCCUCGGCUCAACCGGGGAACUGCGUCCGAUACUGGGAGGCUCGAAUCCGGGAGAGGGAUGCGGAAUUCCAGGUGUAGCGGUGAAAUGCGUAGAUAUCUGGAGGAACACCGGUGGCGAAGGCGGCAUCCUGGACCGGUAUUGACGCUGAGGCGCGAAAGCCAGGGGAGCAAAC